rnacentral:tRNA from 1 species
AAAGUAAAUAAUUAAAAAAGCUUCUAACUUUUUCCAAAGCAAUAAAUUGU